rnacentral:piRNA from 1 species
UGAUCAGAUGUUCUCAGUGCAUCGGAGCCUU